GACAGAGGUCCCGAGCGUUAGGCGGAAUCACUGGGCUUAAAGCGUGUGUAGGCGGAUCGUUAAGUGCCUUGUGAAAUCCCACGGCUUAACCGUGGAACUGCUUGGCAUCUGGCGGUCUUGAGCAACCUAGGGGCAAGCGGAACAAAUGGUGGAGCGGUGAAAUGCGUAGAUAUUGGGAGGAACACCAGUGGCGAAGGCGGCUCACUGGACCGGAACUGACGCUGAUGCGCGAAAGCGUGGGGAGCAAACGGGG
rnacentral:rRNA from 1 species